UCAGGAAUAUUGCUCAAUGGGAGAAAUCCUGAAGCAGCAACGCCGCGUGGAGGAUGAAGGGUCUAUGACUUGUAAACUCCUGUAAAGAAGGAAAAAAUUCCCAUUAGAUGGGAGAUGAUGGUACUUCUGGAGUAAGCCCCGGCUAACUACGUGCCCGCAGCCGCGGUAAUACGUAGGGGGCAAGCGUUGUCCGGAUUUACUGGGUGUAAAGGGUGCUCAGGCGGAUUUGUAAGUCAGAGGUGAAAUCUUACAGCUUAACUGUGAAACUGCCUUUGAUACUGCAAGCCUAGAGUAUGGAAGAGAGUGAUGGAAUAUCUGGUGUAGCAGUGAAAUGCGUAGAUAUCAGAUAGAACACCAAUGGCGAAGGCAGUCACUUGGUCCAUUACUGACGCUAAAGCACGAAAGCGUGGGUAGCAAACA
rnacentral:rRNA from 1 species